UUCUCUACUAUCUCGAAAGCUUUGGAUAAUUUAAACAUCAGAGAAUUCUCAGUUGGAAUAUCUCCGACGAGUGUGAACUUCGUUAGUAGGGAUCCUUUGGUAUCCUAGAUUUCGAUCGAUGUUAUGCUCUAGUCAUAUCAACAACUCUCUGGAGUUUCACGACAACACUUUCUAUGCUGCGGAUCAUUCAGGAGGAAUCUUAUGAAGAGAGCUAAGGCUGUUCUACGUGCUUUAUAUGAUAUUUUAGUUCCUAAUUUUUCUUUUAAUG
rnacentral:lncRNA from 1 species